AUGGUGAAGCUCUCUAUUGUCCUGACCCCACAGUUCCUGUCCCAUGACCAGGGCCAGCUCACCAAGGAGCUGCAGCAGCACAUAAAGUCAGUGACAUGCCCAUGCGAGUACCUGAGGAAGGAUCAAUACUCUGGCUGACCAUCAUCAUUGUGGGACUGGCUUUCGUGGAAGUCCUUGGUUACAUUUCAUUAUUGCGUUUCCGAGAAGUUAUAAAGUUUUCAUUAUCCUCUGGACAGUUUACCUUUGGGUGAUCUCCUGAAGACUAUCUUGUGGUCUCGAAAUGGACAUGAUGGAUCCACGGAUGUACAGCAGAGAGCCUGGAGGUCCAACCGCUGUAGACAGAAAGGCUGAGGUCCAUUUGUAUGCACACAAAGAAAAGAGUUUCUUCCUUUCCAGGAAAUAAAAUUGGCCUGAAAGACGUCAUUACUCUAUGGAGACAUGUGGAAACAAAAGUUAGAGCUAAAAUCCGUAAGAGGAAGGUGACAACGAAAAUCAACCAUCAUGACAAAAUCAAUGGAAAGAGGAAGACCGCCAAAAACCAGUUGUGGCGGCGGGCAGAGGACUACCACAAACGUCAGAUCCCCCCUUCUGCAAGAAAGCCUCUUUGCAACUGGGAGAAUGGUGGCAGCGGAGCAUCGUCAUUCUUCAGGAUUGCCCUACUGGCCCUACCUCACAGCUGAAACUUUAAAAAACAGGAUGGGCCGCCAGCCACCUCCUCCAACUCAACAACAUUCUAUAACUGAUAACUCCCUGAGCCUCAAGACACCUCCCGAAUGUCUCCUUCGUCCCCUUCCACCCUCAGUGGAUGAUAAUAUCA
rnacentral:lncRNA from 1 species